UAUUGAUCAUGAAAUAUGUUUAAGAGAGCAGCAACAGACUGAAAGUGUCUGUGGUGAGACUGGUCAUGGGUUUCCAACUGCAGUAGCUGAUGAUCAUCUUGUCAACAUGGUUCUAGCAUUCAAAACGACCAUCACUUUUAGACACUACAGAUAUGCAAGAUCGAAAUUUGUGUCAAUCAAUCAGAAGGAACACUAAUCGGAGACUGGAACAAUUAUCCAACGGUGGCGAUCAACGGUUCCAUCAUCAAUGGGCAUCCAAUUUUGGGGCAAGAUCAAUGUGGAGACUCCUUCCAUGAAGAGUCUCGGGUAGGAUAAAAAGAUAAAUAGUUUGUCCUUAUAUUUUCAAGACUCUUGUUGUGGUUUUCCUUUAUUAAUUUAAGUAGAUUAUUAUCCUCAAGUCUCAUUUUAAGUACAUGUCAAGCAGGAAAGUUACCUAGUUAAUUGGAGCUGUACUUCAAAAUAGUUUUAAUGCCUUCUUAUAUAGGAGUUUGAUUUUUUGUUAUGAGCUUGCACAAGGGGCUAGAUAUAAAAAUAAACCUAUCAAAGAGAUGAGUUUUUUCUUGAAAUCAAU
rnacentral:lncRNA from 1 species